UGGCUCAGGAUGAACGCUGGCGGCGUGCUUAAUACAUGCAAGUCGAACGAGUUCUCGUUGAUGAUCGGUGCUUGCACCGAGAUUCAACAUGGAACGAGUGGCGGACGGGUGAGUAACACGUGGGUAACCUGCCCUUAAGUGGGGGAUAACAUUUGGAAACAGAUGCUAAUACCGCAUAGAUCCAAGAACCGCAUGGUUCUUGGCUGAAAGAUGGCGUAAGCUAUCGCUUUUGGAUGGACCCGCGGCGUAUUAGCUAGUUGGUGAGGUAAUGGCUCACCAAGGCGAUGAUACGUAGCCGAACUGAGAGGUUGAUCGGCCACAUUGGGACUGAGACACGGCCCAAACUCCUACGGGAGGCAGCAGUAGGGAAUCUUCCACAAUGGACGCAAGUCUGAUGGAGCAACGCCGCGUGAGUGAAGAAGGCUUUCGGGUCGUAAAACUCUGUUGUUGGAGAAGAAUGGUCGGCAGAGUAACUGUUGUCGGCGUGACGGUAUCCAACCAGAAAGCCACGGCUAACUACGUGCCAGCAGCCGCGGUAAUACGUAGGUGGCAAGCGUUAUCCGGAUUUAUUGGGCGUAAAGCGAGCGCAGGCGGUUUUUUAAGUCUGAUGUGAAAGCCCUCGGCUUAACCGAGGAAGCGCAUCGGAAACUGGGAAACUUGAGUGCAGAAGAGGACAGUGGAACUCCAUGUGUAGCGGUGAAAUGCGUAGAUAUAUGGAAGAACACCAGUGGCGAAGGCGGCUGUCUGGUCUGUAACUGACGCUGAGGCUCGAAAGCAUGGGUAGCGAACAGGAUUAGAUAC
rnacentral:rRNA from 1 species